AGAUUUUUUUUUUCCAGAUGCAAAGUCUACAUUUUAAGAGAUCCAACUGAAACUGCUUUACAAUGGAAUUUCUAAAAUAUCUGAUGCUGAUAUUUCUCAUCAGUGACAAGAGAAAAUCUAUGUGCAGUGGAGGAGAUACAGAUCUUUUCUACACAUUUGGAAAUGAAGACAUAAGGAGUCCCUCUACAGAUGAUGGAAGCUCUCCAGUAAUAUUGUUGGAAAAGCCCUUUGUAUAUUUUGGAAGUGUUUUACAAAAGACUU